AUACUCUAGUGUCUCUUCAGAUUGUCUAAAUCUUUUGCUUUUUACUAAAGAUUUCUGUUGAGAGGAACAACUCUGAGUCAUAAAACAGUUUUUUAAGGCCUUGUUUUUGCAGGGCU